GACGAAUGCUGGCGGCGUGCUUAACACAUGCAAGUCGAACGGUAAGGCUCCAGCUUGCUGGGGUACACGAGUGGCGAACGGGUGAGUAACACGUGGGUGACCUGCCCUGCACUUCGGGAUAAGCCUGGGAAACUGGGUCUAAUACCGGAUAGGACUGCACCGUGAGGGUGUGGUGGAAAGUUUUUUCGGUGUGGGAUGGGCCCGCGGCCUAUCAGCUUGUUGGUGGGGUAAUGGCCUACCAAGGCGGCGACGGGUAGCCGGCCUGAGAGGGUGGACGGCCACAUUGGGACUGAGACACGGCCCAGACUCCUACGGGAGGCAGCAGUGGGGAAUAUUGCACAAUGGGCGGAAGCCUGAUGCAGCGACGCCGCGUGGGGGAUGACGGCCUUCGGGUUGUAAACUCCUUUCACCAUCGACGAAGGGUUUCUGACGGUAGAUGGAGAAGAAGCACCGGCUAACUACGUGCCAGCAGCCGCGGUAAUACGUAGGGUGCGAGCGUUGUCCGGAAUUACUGGGCGUAAAGAGCUCGUAGGUGGUUUGUCGCGUCGUCUGUGAAAUUCCGGGGCUUAACUCCGGGCGUGCAGGCGAUACGGGCAUAACUUGAGUACUGUAGGGGAGACUGGAAUUCCUGGUGUAGCGGUGAAAUGCGCAGAUAUCAGGAGGAACACCGGUGGCGAAGGCGGGUCUCUGGGCAGUAACUGACGCUGAGGAGCGAAAGCAUGGGGAGCGAACAGGAUUAGAUACCCUGGUAGUCCAUGCCGUAAACGGUGGGCGCUAGGUGUGGGUUUCCUUCCACGGGAUCCGUGCCGUAGCUAACGCAUUAAGCGCCCCGCCUGGGGAGUACGGCCGCAAGGCUAAAACUCAAAGGAAUUGACGGGGGCCCGCACAAGCGGCGGAGCAUGUGGAUUAAUUCGAUGCAACGCGAAGAACCUUACCUGGGCUUGACAUAUACAGGAUCGCGCCAGAGAUGGUGUUUCCCUUGUGGCUUGUAUACAGGUGGUGCAUGGUUGUCGUCAGCUCGUGUCGUGAGAUGUUGGGUUAAGUCCCGCAACGAGCGCAACCCUUGUCUUAUGUUGCCAGCACGUUGUGGUGGGGACUCGUAAGAAACUGCCGGGGUUAACUCGGAGGAAGGUGGGGAUGACGUCAAAUCAUCAUGCCCCUUAUGUCCAGGGCUUCACACAUGCUACAAUGGUCGGUACAGUGGGUUGCCAGUCCGUGAGGGCGAGCUAAUCCCGCAAAGCCGGUCUCAGUUCGGAUCGGGGUCUGCAACUCGACCCCGUGAAGUCGGAGUCGCUAGUAAUCGCAGAUCAGCAACGCUGCGGUGAAUACGUUCCCGGGCCU
rnacentral:rRNA from 1 species